UGUUGUAAAUUACUGAUUAGACCAAGUAGCAGAAUUCAGCUGCUUACAGAGAGCGUUUGGUUUGCGUCACACUAGGUCUGGACUACCUGAUCAUGAAUUACCUAUGGCGAGGUUUUUUGGUUUUUGCAAUUGCCACAGCGCUUGAAAUGUCUGAAGAUAGUAAUGAGGCUAUCCAAAUUACAUGUGAGAAGGGUUCCGUUCAUGUUAAGUGGAAAGUGGAUAAAUCGAUGACUGCAAAUCCUGCUCGUCUAUUCCUGGGUAGCUGCUAUCCUUCACGGUUCUCAAAUGUGUCAAAUGAAGGAGCAAAUGCAGACUUUUACUAUCCGCUUACUGAUUGUGACUUCAGACGAACGGCAACAUGGAAAUACUUGGUGUAUGAGAACAAGCUAACCUACAGGCCGAUGCCAAAGCCCUACCCUCCUUCUUUCAGCUAUCCAGUUAGAUGUGUGUAUGACAGGCCGAAGGGUUGGACUCCUGCCUUCCAGAGCCUUUCUGCUGGAGUCAUCCAAGGUCAUGGAGAACUGGCCUUUCACAUGGCAAUUCUCAAUUAUGAUUUCAGUGGCCCUGCAGAAUCCAAUGUCUUUCCACUGGGAUCUUUUGUUCCUAUUUGGGCUGGUGUUAACCAGCAAGGCCAUCAGCCUCUGCUGCUGCUUCUGGAGGAAUGUAUAGCCUCCACAACACUUGAAAUCUACCCAGAUACUCUUACGUACCCACUCAUCACCAAUAAAGGGUGUCUCAUGGAUAGUAAGAACAGCUUCUCCAGGUUUUUACCAAGGUAUCACUCCUCCUCGAUGAUUCUUCACCUUCAAGCGUUCAGAUUCGCUGUGGGACAAGAGGUCUACAUCCAUUGCAAAUUAAUUGCAUGGGACCCUGACAACCUCAACGAAGCGAAGAAGGCCUGCAAUUAUAAUAAAGCCACAGGAGAGUGGGAGCUGUUAGACGACCCAUUCCAGAGUUCUCUUUGUCAGUGCUGUGAUUCAACAUGUCAAGGCCGUGGAAAGAGGGACACAGAUUCUGCACCUCAAGGACUGGUGCUAAAGUCUGUGUUGGGACCUUUGACAAUUACAGAAGAUUCGUCGUGAUGUUACUCUGACGUGCCAUCCUUAUCUUUUUGGUUUGUUUUUCCUCCUUGGUAGGCACAGUGGCUGUCUAGUGAUGCAAUGGAUAACUGACAGAUGCAGGAUUCCUGACCGAAGGGAGUCAUUAGGAGUGGCCCAAUCAGUCAUCAGAUUUGACUACUUCAUCUUUUAUACGUCACGUUGUCCAUUAAAUGACUUUGGAACAUCCUUUGAGUCUAUUACUUGAAACUUUCCUGCUGUGAUCUCUUUAACUUUCUCAUAAAUGAUGUAAAUCUUCUAAAAGUGCAGCUGUGUCAAUGCAGUUUUGGAUGGCUCAUAUAUUUUCAAUAUUGCUCUCAGAUAUAUCAUCAUACUGAUUACUCUAAAUUAAGGGAACAGGUUAAAUGCAUUGUGAAAAUCUGGUGUAUCUGAUUUGUAAAAAAUGAAAUGAAAAUGUAGUUGUACGCUUGCUCAGGUGUGAAAUGAAAAUCCACAGAAAUGCACAUUUACAGAUAUUCACUGAACCCGAGCUCAUAAAAACUAUUUUUGCAACCUGCUGUAAUGCUGCUUGGGAGUGAUUAUGA